rnacentral:rRNA from 2 species
UGGGGAAUAUUGCACAAUGGGGGAAACCCUGAUGCAGCGACGCCGCGUGAACGAAGAAGGUAUUCGUAUCGUAAAGUUCUGUCCUAUGGGAAGAUAAUGACAGUACCAUAGAAGAAAGCUCCGGCUAAAUACGUGCCAGCAGCCGCGGUAAUACGUAUGGAGCGAGCGUUGUCCGGAAUUAUUGGGCGUAAAGGGUACGCAGGCGGUUUAAUAAGUCGAAUGUUAAAGAUCGGGGCUCAACCCCGUAAAGCAUUGGAAACUGAUAAACUUGAGUAGUGGAGAGGAAAGUGGAAUUCCUAGUGUAGUGGUGAAAUACGUAGGUAUUAGGAGGAAUACCAGUAGCGAAGGCGACUUUCUGGACACAAACUGACGCUGAGGUACGAAAGCGUGGGGAGCAAACAGG